UACGUAGGGGGCUAGCGUUGUCCGGAAUCAUUGGGCGUAAAGCGCGUGUAGGCGGCUCGAUAAGUCCGCUCUGAAAGCCCGGGCUCAACCCCGGGAGGCGGGUGGAUACUGUCGAGCUCGAGUCCGGAAGAGGCAAGUGGAAUUCCCGGUGUAGCGGUGAAAUGCGCAGAUAUCGGAGGAACACCAAUGGCGAAGGCAGCUUGCUGGACGGUACUGACGCUGAGACGCGAAAGCGUGGGAGCAACAGG
rnacentral:rRNA from 1 species